rnacentral:rRNA from 1 species
CCUACGUGAGGCUGCAGUGAGGAAUAUUGGUCAAUGGGCGAGAGCCUGAACCAGCCAAGUCGCGUGAGGGAGUACUGCCCUAUGGGUUGUAAACCUCUUUUGUCGGGGAGCAAAAGCCGGACGUGUCCGGCUGUGAGAGUUCCCUAAGAAAAAGCAUCGGCUAACUCCGUGCCAGCAGCCGCGGUAAUACGGAGGAUACGGGCGUUAUCCGGAUUUAUUGGGUUAAAAGGGUGCGCAGGCGGAUUUUUAAGUCAGCGGUAAAAUCGUGGGGACCAACCCCAUACAGCAGUUGAAACUGGGGAUCUAGAGUGUGCGAGAGGUAUGCGGAAUGCGUGGUGUAGCGGUGAAAUGCAUAGAUAUCACGCAGAACCCCGAUUGCGAAGGCAGCAUACCGGUGCACAACUGACGCUCAGGCACGAAAGCGUGGGUAUCGAACAGGAUUAGAUACCCCAGUAGUC